rnacentral:rRNA from 1 species
AGGACGAACGCUGGCGGCGCGCUUAACACAUGCAAGUCGAGCGAUAACCAUGGCUUCGGCUAUGGGGAGAGCGGCGAACGGGUGAGUAACACGUGAGUAAUCUGCCCUCGACACUGGGAUAGCCCGGGGAAACCCGGAUUAAUACCGGAUAGCCUCUCGAGCUUUCGGGCUCGUGAGAAAAGAUGGCUUCGGCAUUCGGCUGAGGAGGAGCUUGCGGCGGAUUAGCUUGUUGGUGAGGUAACGGCCCACCAAGGCGACGAUCCGUAGCUGGUCUGAGAGGACGAUCAGCCACACUGGGACUGAGACACGGCCCAGACUCCUACGGGAGGCAGCAGUGGGGAAUCUUGCGCAAUGGGCGAAAGCCUGACGCAGCAACGCCGCGUGGGGGAUGAAGGCUCUCGGGUUGUAAACCCCUUUCAGCAGGAACGAAAUGACGGUACCUGCAGAGAAGGCCCGGCACUACGUGCCAGCAGCCGC